rnacentral:rRNA from 1 species
UACGUAGGGUGCGAGCGUUGUCCGGAAUUACUGGGCGUAAAGAGCUCGUAGGUGGUUUGUCGCGUUGUUCGUGAAAACCGGGGGCUUAACCCUCGGCGUGCGGGCGAUACGGGCAGACUUGAGUACUGCAGGGGAGACUGGAAUUCCUGGUGUAGCGGUGGAAUGCGCAGAUAUCAGGAGGAACACCAGUGGCGAAGGCGGGUCUCUGGGCAGUAACUGACGCUGAGGAGCGAAAGCGUGGGGAGCGAACAGG